AUUGAACGCUGGCGGCAGGCCUAACACAUGCAAGUCGAACGAGUGGCGGACGGGUGAGUAAUGUCUGGGAAACUGCCCGAUGGAGGGGGAUAACUACUGGAAACGGUAGCUAAUACCGCAUACCAUCGGAUGUGCCCAGAUGGGUUUAGCUAGUGGGUGGGUUAACGGCUCACCUAGGCGACGAUCCCUAGCUGGUCUGAGAGGAUGACCAGCAAAAUUGGAACUGAGACACGGUCCAGACUCCUACGGGAGGCAGCAGUGGGGAAUAUGGCACAAUGGGCGCAAGCCUGAGGCAGCCAUGCCGCGGGUAUGAAGAAGGCCUGCGGGUUGUAAAGUACUUUCAGCGAGGAGGCGUUACUCGCAGAAGAAGCACCGGCUAACUCCGUGCCAGCAGCCGCGGUAAUUC
rnacentral:rRNA from 1 species